CGCUGAUAGGGGUUUCAUUCGAUCUCAUAGGAUGCAAAGGAAGCAUUACAGAGGCCUAUCAAAUCCUCAGUGUGUUCAUGGGAUUGAGAUUGUGUCGUCUCCCAAUCUCAUGGUUCUUGAUGAAGAGGAGCGCAAAAGAUGGAAGGAACUCACUGGUAGGGAUGCGAACUUCACUAUCCCACCGGAAGCUAGUGAUUUCAGUACAUGGAGAAACCUCCCCAACACCGAAUUUGAGCUUGAGAGGCCGCUUCCGCCAAUAAAGGGUAACCCACAGUCCAACUCAAAGAAGCUGCUUAAUGGUUCUGGACUUAAUUUGUCAACUCAGCCGUCCAAUCAUAGCAAUGGAGACGCAAUGGAUCUACUACCUGUCAACGGCAAAAGGAAAAAGGACUUCUUCUCAAAUGGAACUGAAGAAGAGUGUUAUCUGCAAGUGAAUCCUCCUUCCUAUCAAAUUCCAGACCUUGAAAUUCACCCAAAUGAACCGAAUUGGUUAAAUGAAUUUACUGGGGUGAUGAGGGAUGCUUAUGGCCCUGUUACAGCUGCAAAAAGUAUCUACGAAGAUGAAGAAGGUUAUUUGAUCGUAAUCAGCUUGCCAUUUGUAGAUCUUCAAAGAGUCAAAGUUUCAUGGCGGAACACACCCACACAUGGGAUAAUUAAGGUGUCUUGUCUGAGCACAUCUCGGAUCCCGUUCAUCAAGAGACAGAAUAGAACUUUCAAGCUUCAAGUUUCAUCCUCAGAACACUGCCUUCCAGGAGAGUUCGUUCGAGAAAUUCCUCUUCCAGCCAGAAUUCCUGAAGAUGCUAAACUUGAAGCAUAUUAUGAUGAAUCAGGAACGGUGCUGGAGAUAUUGGUGCCAAAAGUUCGCGAUGGUCCAGAAGAAGAACAUGAAGUUCGGGUUUGUCUCCGUCCUCACCUUGUUGGAAAUGACCUGAUGUUGACCUAGACGUGUACUUGGAGUAACGCAUAGGUGGUUGUUAGGGCUGGUGCUUCGUUCAGCACCAACUUUGUAGUAUCUGUAGUGUGGUUUUAUCAAAACACACUAAAUGUUGUGGUUGGCAGUUGUUUAUCUUAACUAGUUUUUAUUGUAACAGUGUUU
rnacentral:misc_RNA from 1 species